UAUUCUGGAGCGUUUCCUCAUGGGCGUCGCAGUUCACACACGUCACGGAUUCCGCCGAAGGAGUCGAUAAUUAAAACUGAACUUUUGGAUCGGAUAUAUGAAGACGCGCGCUGCAUUUUCCUUGACGGAGACGCACAGCUCUGACACUAGACAAUAUUAUACACUCAAAGGGACCGCGUUUCGCCGGAAGAAUAAAUAAUUACAAAUGGUAUUCGUCAGUGAACAUUUUCAAACUGGGAAUAAUAUAUCAUAAGCAGAUUGAAAUGUG